rnacentral:rRNA from 1 species
UGGGAUAAACAGAGGGAAGCGAGACCGCGAGGUGGAGCGAAACCCAUAAAUUAUCUCUCAGUUCGGAUUGCAGGCUGCAACUCGCCUGCAUGAAGUCGGAAUCGCUAGUAAUCGCAGGUCAGCAUACUGCGGUGAAUACGUUCCCGGGUCUUGUACACACCGCCCGUCACACCACGAAAGUCAUUCACACCCGAAGCCGGUGGGGUAACCGCAAGGAGCCAGCCGUCUAAGGUGGGGGCGAUGAUUGGGGUGAAGUCGUAACAAGGUAGCCGUAUCGGAAGGUGCGGCUGGAUCACCUCCUUUCU